UGAUGUUAGUGAGGUUGAAUGAGAAAGGGACAGAAGAGGAUCAGGAUGAUGAUGCUACUACUGAUGUAUUCAAAGAGGUCUUAGGCUAUAAAUUUGGAUAUGUACUUGGACUGGGCCACUCAGUCAUUCAUGAGCCCUCCCAUUUUAUGCAAAAGAACAAGACAUUUAAAUGAUUGGCGGAGGAGAAUGAAAGGAACAAGACCUGUGCAAACCAUUACAAAACUCAACUAGAGUCACUUUUGGGUGAAAUGGCUGAUCUGCGCAAACAGUUUUCUAAGCAUGACAGACAGAUAAACAUGAUAAGCUCACAGUUAGAGUUAAAUAGGGAGUCUCAACAAGAGACCCUCGGAGAUGCUUAGGCAUCUCUCAUAUAGUUUAGCUUUUUAGAGUGUUGGGGAUUUUUGUGUUUUUUGUUUCUCCUUUGGAAAUGGCAGUGUUAAAUGCCUUUCGAAAAUUGAUGUGUAUUGUGGGCAGGUAAAUGGGGGGUAUUUUGAUAGAAAGGGUGGGAGGUGGUUGGAUAAGUGGGAUUUUGUGUUGGGCAUUGUAACAUGGUAUCUUAAUGGAAGUAGGUUGUAAGGAAUGUUUGGUGGUGGUCAUAACAAUCAGGGAUAUUGCUGCAUGCAUUAGCUGCAUAUUUGUAAAGGUUCCUGCCAAUAAUGGUUCUGUGAGUAUCUAGAUGUUGUUCCAGCACAGUUACAAGAUUUUGAGAUCCAAUUCAGAAAAUGGUCAGGAAAAUAUAACUGGAUAGGAGCUUCAGAUCUGGUGAUGGUGUUUUUCAUUCACUCAAAAAGUUGAAAAUCUAUCCGUACAGAAGCUGAAUUGGUACAGCUGGAAUCUCAUCACCUUGGACGAUAAAAAAUGAAUGAUAGAAUGCAGAUGAAAGCAAUGGAGCUAUACACUAUUUCUAGGCUGGAGCAAAGUUCAUCCCAACUAUAUGUAGAAGUAUAUAGUUGUUUUAUGGGCUAUACAAUAGUUGUAACUAUUAUGUUGAUCCUCCCAUUUCCUUCCCACACAGUACACAUUGAUGUAUUUCCAUUAUGCAAUCUGAACAUUGAAACAUGUCUGAAUUAAUUAUAUAUAUGUACAUGUAUAUAAACAGGGAA